rnacentral:rRNA from 1 species
AUGCAAGUCGAACGCGAAAGUUCCCUUCGGGGAGCGAGUAGAGUGGCGCACGGGUGAGUAACACGUAGGUAAUUUGCCUUCGGGUGGGGAAUAACAGCCGGCAACGGCUGCUAAUACCGCAUAAUGCAGCGGCUCGACAUCGAGACAGUUGUUAAAGCGGGGGAUCGCAAGACCUCGCGCCUGAAGAGAAGCCUGCGGCAGAUAAGCUAGUUGGCAGGGUAAUGGCCUACCAAGGCGACGAUCUGUAACCGGCCUGAGAGGGCGGUCGGUCACACUGACACUGACAUACGGGUCAGACUCCUACGGGAGGCAGCAGUCGGGAAUUUUGGGCAAUGGGCGAAAGCCUGACCCAGCAACGCCGCGUGAAGGAUGAAAUCCCUCGGGAUGUAAACUUCGCAAGAAUGGGAAGAAUAAGUAGAAGAUAAUACCUUCUAUGAUGACGGUACCAUUUGUAAGCUCCGGCUAACUCCGUGCCAGCAGCCGCGGUAAUACGGGGGGAGCAAGCGUUGUUCGGAUUUACUGGGCGUAAAGGGCGCGUAGGCGGCCACGACAAGUCACUUGUGAAAUCUCCGGGCUUAACUCGGAACGGUCAAGUGAUACUGUCGGGCUAGAGUGCAGAAGGGGCAACUGGAAUUCUCGGUGUAGCGGUGAAAUGCGUAGAUAUCGAGAGGAACACCUGCGGCGAAGGCGGGUUGCUGGGCUGACACUGACGCUGAGGCGCGAA